rnacentral:rRNA from 1 species
CAUGGAGGGUGAGAAUCCCGUUCGGUUGAUCAGACUUCUUUACGAUACGUCAUCAAAGAGUCAAGUUGUUUGGGAAUGCAGCUUAAAAUGGGAGGUAAAUUUCUCCUAAGGCUAAAUAACGGCGAGAGACCGAUAGCGAACAAGUACCGUGAGGGAAAGAUGAAAAGAACUUUGAAAAGAGAGUUAAAUAGUACGUGAAAUUGUUGAAAGGGAAACGAUUGAAGUCAGUCAUGCCGGCGGGAAUCAACUUGAGGGAAACUUUUAAGUGCACUUCCUUGCUUGGCAGGUUAGCGUCGAUUUUAAAUGUCAUAAAAUGAUUGGGGGAAGGUAGCUCUUUCGAGAGUGUUAUAGCCCUUGAUUAAUGUGAUGUUUGGGAUCGAGGAUUGCAACGGAUACCUUUUAGGCUAGCCGCCUGGCCUCUGAUUCGAUGUUGGGUUAUAGACAACAUGUUGACUAUGAUCUAAUUAUUGGUCAAAAGGUUAGAGCGAGCAUAAAUUCGUUAAGGAUGUUGACGUAAUGG